rnacentral:rRNA from 1 species
CGCGGCCUAUCAGCUUGUUGGUGAGGUAACGGCUCACCAAGGCAUCGACGGGUAGCUGGUCUGAGAGGAUGAUCAGCCACACUGGGACUGAGACACGGCCCAGACUCCUACGGGAGGCAGCAGUGGGGAAUAUUGCACAAUGGGCGCAAGCCUGAUGCAGCAACGCCGCGUGCGGGAUGAAGGCCCUAGGGUUGUAAACCGCUUUCAGCAGGGAAGAAAAUGACGGUACCUGCAGAAGAAGGUGCGGCCAACUACGUGCCAGCAGCCGCGGUGACACGUAGGCACCAAGCGUUGUCCGGAUUUAUUGGGCGUAAAGAGCUCGUAGGCGGUUCAGUUAGUCGGGUGUGAAAACUCUGGGCUCAACCCAGAGACGCCACCCGAUACUGCUGUGACUAGAGUACGGUAGGGGAGCGGGGAAUUCCUGGUGUAGCGGUGAAAUGCGCAGAUAUCAGGAGGAACACCAGUGGCGAAGGCGCCGCUCUGGGCCGUAACUGACGCUGAGGAGCGAAAGCAUGGGUAGCAAACAGGAUUAGAUACCCUGGUAGUCCAUGCCGUAAACGUUGGGCACUAGGUGUGGGUCUCAACCAACGAGAUCCGCGCCGUCGCUAACGCAUUAAGUGCCCCGCCUGGGGAGUACGG